UACGUAGGUGGCAAGCGUUGUCCGGAUUUACUGGGCGUAAAGAGCGCGCAGGCGGUCGGCCAAGUCGAGUGUGAAAGCCCCCGGCUCAACUGGGGAGGGUCAUUCGAUACUGGUCGACUCGAAGGCAGGAGAGGGAAGCGGAAUUCCCGGUGUAGUGGUGAAAUGCGUAGAUAUCGGGAGGAACACCAGUGGCGAAGGCGGCUUCCUGGCCUGUUCUUGACGCUGAGGCGGCGAAAAGC
rnacentral:rRNA from 1 species